UACGGGGGGGGCAAGCGUUGUUCGGAUUUACUGGGCGUAAAGGGCUCGUAGGCGGCCAACUAAGUCAGACGUGAAAUCCCUCAGCUUAACUGGGGAACUGCGUCUGAUACUGGAUGGCUUGGAUUCGGGAGAGGAAUGCGGAAUUCCAGGUGUAGCGGUGAAAUGCGUAGAUAUCUGGAGGAACACCGGUGGCGAAGGCGGCAUUCUGGACCGAUAUUGACGCUGAGGAGCGAAAGCCAGGGGAGCAAACGGG
rnacentral:rRNA from 1 species